AUUAAACGCUGGCGGCAUGCCUUACACAUGCAAGUCGAACGGCAGCACGGGGGCAACCCUGGUGGCGAGUGGCGGACGGGUGAGUAAAGCAUCGGAACGUAUCCUGGAGUGGGGGAUAACGUAGCGAAAGUUACGCUAAUACCGCAUAUUCUGUGAGCAGGAAAGCAGGGGAUCGCAAGACCUUGCGCUCUGGGAGCGGCCGAUGUCGGAUUAGCUAGUUGGUGGGGUAAAGGCCUACCAAGGCGACGAUCCGUAGCGGGUCUGAGAGGAUGAUCCGCCACACUGGGACUGAGACACGGCCCAGACUCCUACGGGAGGCAGCAGUGGGGAAUUCUGGACAAUGGGCGGAAGCCUGAUCCAGCCAUGCCGCGUGAGUGAAGAAGGCCU
rnacentral:rRNA from 1 species